GACGAACGCUGGCGGCGUGCCUAACACAUGCAAGUCGAACGGAAAGGCCCUGCUUUUGUGGGGUGCUCGAGUGGCGAACGCGUGAGUAACACGUGUGUAUCCUGCCCUUGUCUUUGGGAUAACUUCACGAAACUGGGGCUAAUAUCGGAUAGGAUCUCCUGCACCAUGGGGGGCGUUGGAAAGUUUCGGCGGUUGGGGAUGGACUCGCGGCUUACGCGCUGGCUGGUGGGGUAGUGGCAUUCCAAGGCUUUGACGGAUAGCCGGCCUGGGAGGGUAGACGGGCACAUUGCGCCUGCGGGACGGAGCAGACGCCAACGGGAGGCAGCGGGGGGAAGUAUUGCACAGUGGGCGGAAGCCUGAGACGACGACGCCGCGUGCGGAAUGACCGCCUUCGGGUUGUAAACCGCUUUCGCCUGUGACGAAGCGUGAGUGACGGUAAUGGGUAAAGAAGCACCGGCUAACUACGUG
rnacentral:rRNA from 1 species